CUCUUCCUCGGGAAACGCAAACCACCCUCUCGCCCUCGAAAAUGAUGACUACGACGAGAAGCCUCGUGAGGAGUGCGGUGUUGUCGGAAUCUACGGCGACUCGGAAGCCUCGCGCCUCUGCUACCUAGCCCUCCACGCGCUCCAGCACCGAGGCCAAGAAGGCGCGGGAAUCGUAACCGUCAGCAAAGACAAGGUCCUCCAGACAAUAACAGGCGUCGGUCUUGUCUCCGAGGUCUUCAACGAGUCCAAACUCGACCAGCUACCAGGCGACAUCGCCAUCGGCCACGUCCGUUACUCCACCGCCGGCUCCUCCAUGCUCAAAAACGUCCAGCCUUUCGUCGCCGGGUACCGCUUCGGCUCCGUGGGGGUCGCGCACAACGGGAACUUAGUCAACUACACGAAGCUCCGAGCCGAGUUAGAAGAGAACGGUUCGAUUUUUAACACCAGCUCUGACACCGAGGUUGUCCUUCAUUUGAUAGCUAUCUCCAAAGCUAGACCGUUCUUCAUGAGGAUCGUUGACGCGUGUGAGAAGCUUCAAGGCGCUUACUCGAUGGUGUUUGUUACCGAGGAUAAGCUUGUGGCGGUUCGUGACCCUCACGGGUUUAGACCGUUAGUGAUGGGAAGGAGGAGUAACGGAGCUGUUGUGUUUGCUUCGGAGACUUGCGCUCUUGAUUUAAUCGAGGCUACUUAUGAGAGAGAGGUUUACCCUGGUGAGGUUUUGGUUGUUGAUAAAGAUGGUGUUAAGUCUCAGUGUUUAAUGCCUCAUCCUGAACCUAAGCAGUGUAUUUUCGAACAUAUUUACUUUUCGUUACCGAACUCGAUCGUGUUUGGUCGGUCUGUGUAUGAGUCUAGGCAUGUGUUUGGGGAGAUUUUAGCAACCGAGUCGCCUGUUGAUUGCGAUGUGGUGAUCGCUGUGCCUGACUCUGGUGUUGUCGCUGCUCUGGGGUACGCUGCUAAGUCCGGAGUUGCGUUUCAGCAAGGGUUGAUUAGGUCUCAUUACGUUGGGAGGACGUUCAUCGAACCCUCUCAGAAGAUCAGAGACUUUGGAGUGAAGCUGAAGCUGUCUCCCGUCCGUGGAGUUUUGGAAGGGAAGAGAGUCGUUGUUGUUGACGACUCCAUCGUUAGAGGAACUACCUCGUCAAAGAUUGUUCGUCUCUUGAGAGAAGCUGGUGCCAAAGAGGUUCACAUGAGGAUCGCGAGUCCUCCUAUCGUUGCUUCUUGUUACUACGGUGUGGACACGCCCAGCUCGGAGGAGUUGAUUUCGAAUAGGAUGAGUGUUGAUGAAGUAAGGGACUACAUCGGAAGCGACUCUCUUGCCUUCCUGUCGUUUGAGACGUUGAAGAAACACUUGGGAGAAGAUUCGAAAACCUUCUGCUAUGCGUGCUUCACUGGGAACUAUCCAGUGAAGCCUACGGAGGAUAAGGUGAAGCGAGGAGGUGGAGAUUUCAUCGAUGAUGGUCUCGUUGGUGGGAUUAACAACAUCGAAGGAGGUUGGGUUCGAUAAGGUCGCGAGUUCGAUGCGCGCGUGAAACAAUUUUGGGUACUAAUGGAGUUAUAUGAUGACGAAAAUCUUGUUGAAUUUUUGAUCCAUUUGACCUAAUUGCUGCAUGUUUACUAUUAUUAUUUUGAGGUAUGAGAUGGGAGUGGACAAGAGGCUUGUUCUUGUCUGAUGAAUCUUUGAAAGUGUUUUGUUCUAUUGCCUUAAAGCUAAGUUUUUGAAAAUUGAAAUUGUAUUGGUAAAAUCCUGGUUUCAAUUCAAACCGGUAUCGGUUUACGUGGACUAAACACUUCCACGUCACUGCUGAUUAUGCAAAUUACAGAUAUACCCUCAGAAACAUUUCCAGUGGAUAUUGUUUGUCUCGCUAACUACUUCCUUCUCCGACCGAUAAACACAGAACAGAGGAGUUAAGAGAUUAAGGAUCCCACUGUGGCGAUGGCUAACGUGUUCCACGCCCACCAGUCUCACUUAUUCUUCCCUCUCAAUCCUUCAAUCUCCACCGUCCGUUCCAAGACGCAUGCGUUCCACUUCCCGCAAUCAACGGUUCCGGCUAACCUCUUUACGAACCUCUCCGUGCGGCGGAGGAGCGUGAAGUGUAUGGCGAACCCGAGAAGAGUCAAGAUGGUGGCUAAGCAGAUAAUGAGGGAGCUCUCCGACAUGCUUCUCACAGACACUGUAUUGCAACACGCCGUGUUGCCCGAAGCUGCACUUGGAGCCGACCGCUACCUCUCUUCUCUCACCACCAUUAGCGAUGUCGAGGUCUCCAAUGAUUUGCAGGUAAAGAAAACUUAAUUCUCCACUCCUGCUUUGAGAUUUUUUACUUAAGAGAUAUGUUACAAAGCUGAAAAUGGUUUGUUUGGGGGGUUUGUAGAUUGUGAAAGUGUAUGUAUCGGUGUUUGGAGAUGAUAGAGGGAAAGACGUUGCGAUAGCGGGGUUGAAAUCGAAAGCUAAGUACGUUAGGAGUGAGCUCGGGAAGCGAAUGAAGCUGAGAUUGACGCCUGAGGUCAGAUUCAUUGAGGAUGAGUCCAUGGAUAUGAAGCAGGGUAAGCCUUCUCAUAUAUAUAUAUAUCACUGAAACUAACUAUGUUUCCUGCAUUUUAUGAGAAUUAUACAUAAUCUCCAGAUUGAUCUCAUUUAUAGAACAUAUAGUCAUCACGUAGUUGAUUAUUCUUUGGAUGUCUUCUUUGAAAAACUGCUAGUUUUUGCUAUUCAGUCAAGUAGCUGUCUCAUGUUUUGCCUGAUUCUGCGUUUAUAAAAAACUGAAAUUUGGAGAUUGUUUCAGGUAAUCGCGAUACUAGACAAAAUAAAAGCUGAAAAGGGAAGCGAAGGGGAGCCAGAAACGUCUGAUUCGCCAGAGGAUGAUCAAGAUUGGGGAGUGGAUGACCCCGACGAAGACAUCAUCUAUGUAAAGUAAACGGUCGCAAACAGUUUUAGCUACCAAGCACAAGUGCAUAUUACUAAGAAUUUCCCCUCAUCAUAUUUUCAAAUCAUCUAAGAGAGAUCAUUGACAUUGGUGCACCAUCUGACUCUGCGGGUAAUCUUUUCACAUGUUUUGUGUGAAGUUUACUAUAAGGAAUAUGUUGAUGACUCGGAAUUGAGAACUAGAGAAGACGAAUACCGAUAUACAUAGCUCACAUGGCUCCUUCCUCAGCAUGGAUCAGCUUCUUUGCUACUUGGAUGGACUCAACUCUCUCCGAAGAAAUGUUUUAUUUCGGAUAUUUGGAUGAAUCAGUGUACCAAUGUGGGUCAUAUAACUCAUUAGCCCUCCCUCCUCUUUGUUGUUCUGAUAGUAGAAGAAGUUAACCGAUUUGAAAUUGAAAUACCAAACAAAACCGGAUUGGACACUUGUUUAGCUUUGAUGCGAGUUGUUAACAUAUUGAACGUGGGCUUCACAACUAGGCCCAGGCCCAAGGAUGUGGUCGUCUCUGUUGUUAAAAAGAAGAGACAAGCUACGUUGCUCCCUUCCACUCAUCUGAAAGAAACAAAAAAAAAAACUAAAUAAAAUAAAGUAAGAAAAAACGCAGCGAUAUCCACGCUGCUCCAUCUCUCUCUCGCCAGAUAUCAAUCAUCGACUCGCUCCUCAGAUUUCAGAUCCAAAUCUACACACAAAAAGCUUCAACAUGUCUACCUUCAGCGGCGAUGAAACAGCUCCUUUCUUCGGCUUCCUCGGCGCNNNNNNNNNNNNNNNNNNNNNNNNNNNNNNNNNNNNNNNNNNNNNNNNNNNNNNNNNNNNNNNNNNNNNNNNNNNNNNNNNNNNNNNNNNNNNNNNNNNNNNNNNNNNNNNNNNNNNNNNNNNNNNNNNNNNNNNNNNNNNNNNNCGAAGAAAAAAGAUACUCGAGGGUGAGGCGGUCACUUCACUGACGUGUGCUAUACAUACUCAGUCAUAAAACCCUUUCCCCAAAUUAACCCUUAAAAACAAAAUUAAAAUAAAAUAAAAAACCUAAAAGAGCCAUUUCUUUUCACAAAGACAAACCAUAUCAUCCAUGGCGGCCACUUCUUGCUUCUCCUCUUCCAUCUCUCUCAAUGCUAAACCCAACAAGCCCUCCAAGCCUCUCCCUUUCCUCCGCAGCCCCUUCCUUAAACCCUCUUCCUCUCCUCUUCCCGCUUCCCUCUCUUCUUCUCAUGGAGUUGUUUCUUCCUCGAGAAUCAAAAACCAUCCACUUGCCUUUCUUUCAGACAACAACGACGAUUACGACGAGAAGCCUCGUGAGGAGUGCGGCGUUGUCGGAAUCUACGGAGACUCGGAAGCCUCGCGCCUCUGCUACCUAGCCCUCCACGCCCUCCAGCACCGAGGCCAAGAAGGCGCGGGAAUCGUAACCGUCAGCAAAGACAAGGUCCUCCAGACAAUAACAGGCGUCGGUCUUGUCUCCGAGGUCUUCAAC
rnacentral:lncRNA from 1 species